GACGAACGCUGGCGGCGUGCUUAACACAUGCAAGUCGAGCGGUAAGGCCCUUUCGGGGGUACACGAGCGGCGAACGGGUGAGUAACACGUGGGUGACCUGCCUUUAGCUCUGGGAUAAGCCUGGGAAACCGGGUCUAAUACCGGAUAUGACUCCGCGGCGCAUGUUGUGGGGUGGAAAGCCUUGUGCGGCUGGAGAUGGGCCCGCGGCCUAUCAGCUUGUUGGUGGGGUGAUGGCCUACCAAGGCGACGACGGGUAGCCGGCCUGAGAGGCGACCGGCCACACUGGGACUGAGACACGGCCCAGACUCCUACGGGAGGCAGCAGUGGGGAAUCUUGCGCAAUGGGCGAAAGCCUGACGCAGCGACGCCGCGUGAGGGAUGACGGCCUCGG
rnacentral:rRNA from 1 species